rnacentral:rRNA from 14 species
UGGUGGAUGCCUUGGCGAUGAUAGGCGACGAAAGACGUGAUAGCCUGCGAUAAGCUUCGGGGAGCUGGCAAAUUAGCUUUGAUCCGGAGAUUUCCGAAUGGGGAAACCCAGCAUGAGUUAUGUCAUGUUAUCGACAUGUGAAUUCAUAGCAUGUCAGAAGGCAGACCCGGAGAACUGAAACAUCUUAGUACCCGGAGGAAGAGAAAGAAAAAUCGAUUCCCUGAGUAGCGGCGAGCGAAACGGGAAGAGCCCAAACCAACAAGCUUGCUUGUUGGGGUUGUAGGACACUCUAUACGGAGUUACAAAAGAACAUGUUAGACGAAUCAUCUGGAAAGAUGAAUCAAAGAAGGUAAUAAUCCUGUAGUCGAAAACAUAUUCUCUCUUGAGUGGAUCCUGAGUACGACGGAGCACGUGAAAUUCCGUCGGAAUCUGGGAGGACCAUCUCCUAAGGCUAAAUACUC